UACGGAGGAUGCGAGCGUUAUCCGGAUUUAUUGGGUUUAAAGGGUGCGCAGGCGGCACGGCAAGCCGGCGGUCAAAUCGCGGGGCUCAACCCCGCCCAGCCGUCGGAACUGCCGGGCUAGAGUGGGCGAGAAGUGCGCGGAAUGCGUGGUGUAGCGGUGAAAUGCAUAGAUAUCACGCAGAACUCCGAUUGCGAAGGCAGCGUACCGGCAUCCAACUGACGCUGAGGCACGAAAGCGUGGGUAUCGAACAGG
rnacentral:rRNA from 1 species